rnacentral:rRNA from 1 species
GGAUUAAAGGUGGCUUUCGGGCUGUCGCAGAUGGAUGAGCCUGCGUUGGAUUAGCUAGUUGGUGGGGUAAGGGCCCACCAAGGCUACGAUCCAUAGCUGAUUUGAGAGGAUGAUCAGCCACAUUGGGACUGAGACACGGCCCAAACUCCUACGGGAGGCAGCAGUGGGGAAUAUUGGACAAUGGGGGCAACCCUGAUCCAGCAAUGCCAUGUGUGUGAAGAAGGCCCUAGGGUUGUAAAGCACUUUAGUUGGGGAGGAAAGCCUCAAGGUUAAUAGCCUUGGGGGAGGACGUUACCCAAAGAAUAAGCACCGGCUAACUCCGUGCCAGCAGCCGCGGUAAUACGGGGGGUGCAAGCGUUAAUCGGAAUUACUGGGCGUAAAGGGUCUGUAGGUGGUUUGUUAAGUCAGAUGUGAAAGCCCAGGGCUCAACCUUGGAACUGCAUUUGAUACUGGCAAACUAGAGUACGGUAGAGGAAUGGGGAAUUUCUGGUGUAGCGGUGAAAUGCGUAGAGAUCAGAAGGAACACCAAUGGCGAAGGCAACAUUCUGGACCGAUACUGACACUGAGGGACGAAAGCGUGGGGAUCAAACAGGAUUAGAUACCCUGGUAGUCCACGCUGUAAACGAUGAGUACUAGCUGUUGGAGUCGGUGUAAAGGCUCUAGUGGCGCAGCUAACGCGAUAAGUACUCCGCCUGGGGACUACGGCCGCAAGGCUAAAACUCAAAGGAAUUGACGGGGACCCGCACAAGCGGUGGAGCAUGUGGUUUAAUUCGAUGCAACGCGAAGAACCUUACCUGGUCUUGACAUCCUGCGAACUUUCUAGAGAUAGAUUGGUGCCUUCGGGAACGCAGUGACAG